UACGUAGGGGGCGAGCGUUGUCCGGAAUUAUUGGGCGUAAAGAGCUCGUAGGCGGUGUGUCGCGUCGGCCGUGAAAACCUGCAGCUUAACUGUGGGCGUGCGGUCGAUACGGGCAUCACUGGAGUUCGGCAGGGGAGACUGGAAUUCCUGGUGUAGCGGUGAAAUGCGCAGAUAUCAGGAGGAACACCGGUGGCGAAGGCGGGUCUCUGGGCCGAUACUGACGCUGAGGAGCGAAAGCGUGGGGAGCAAACAGG
rnacentral:rRNA from 1 species